rnacentral:ncRNA from 1 species
AGGCAAGGAUACAAUAUUGUGUUCCGAUAUGCACCGUACUGUGGAGCCUCUGGAGGGGUUGUAUGUGAACCUCAAAUCGGAUAGGUUUUAGCUGAAAGAAAACAUGCAGA